CACACCCUAACACGCCCCGACCACCCUAACACACCCCAACACACCCCGACCACCCCAACACACCCUUACCACCCUAACACGCCCCAACACACCCCGACCACCCCAACACGCCCCAACACACCCCGACCACCCCAACACACCCUUACCACCCCAACACGCCCCAACACACCCCGACCCACCCCAACACGGCCCCCCGACCACCCCAACACACCCUUACCACCCCAACACGCCCCGACCACCCUAACACACCCCGACCACCCCAACACACCCUUACCACCCCAACACGCCCCAACACACCCCGACCACCCCAACACGCCCCGACCACCCCAACACACCCUUACCACCCCAACACGCCCCGACCACCCUAACACACCCCGACCACCCCAACACACCCUUACCACCCCAACACACCCCGACCACCCCAACACGCCCUUACCACCCCAACACACCCCGACCACCCCAACACACCCUUACCACCCCAACACACCCCAACCACCCCUACCACCCCAACACGCCCCGACCACCCUAACACAUCCGACCACCCCAACACACCCCAACCACCCCAACCACCCCUACCACCCCAACACACCCCAACACACCCCGACCACCCUAACACACCCCAACCACCCCUGCCACCCCAACACGCCCCUACCACCCCAACACGCCCCGACCACCCCAACACACCCCAACACACCCCGACCACCCCAACACACCCCAACACACCCUUACCACCCCAACACACCCUUACCACCCCAACACACCCUUACCACCCCAACACACCCCAACCACCCCUACCACCCCAACACACCCCUACCACCCCAACACGCCCGACCACCCCAACACACCCCAACACACCCCGACCACCCCAACACACCCCGACCACCCCAACCACCCCAACACGCCCUUACCACCCCAACACGCCCUUACCACCCCAACACACCCUUACCACCCCAACACACCCCAACCACCCCUACCACCCCAACACGCCCCUACCACCCCAACACGCCCCGACCACCCCAACACACCCCAACACACCCCGACCACCCCAACACACCCCAACACACCCCGACCACCCCAACACACCCCGACCACCCCAACACACCCCGACCACCCCAACCACCCCAACAUGCCCCAACACACCCCGACCACCCCAACACACCCCGACCACCCCGACCACCCCGACCACCCCGACCACCCCAACACACCCCGACCACCCCAACACACCCCGACCACCCGUCUGUUUCACAGCAGUCUUUGUGCUGUAAUAACAAGAAGUGGCCGAUGAAGAUGGAGGUGUUGUACCGUGUGAGUGUGAGAGCUGUAUGGUCGUUUGCUGGUUGCGCUGGUCAUACUGGUGACGCUGGGCCUCAGGGUUUACCUUUCUAA
rnacentral:lncRNA from 1 species